CAACCACAGAUGAAAAUCCGUUUAGCGCGGGAGAAAAGGAGAAGCCUUUUCGAAUACUUUUCUGGGUGGCCUUCCCAUUUUCUCUUUCAAAAUUUCUUCCAGUAAAAUCUCAUAAAGGGAUUACUGUACU
ensembl:ncRNA VB0365.2 ncRNA